GUCAGGAUGGCCGAGUUGUCUAAGACACCAGACUCAAGCUUCACUUCCCUGCACUGGGGGUUCUGGUCUCCAAAUGGAGGUGUGGGUUUGAAUACCACUUCUGACA
rnacentral:tRNA from 1 species